GACGAACGCUGGCGGCGUGCUUAACACAUGCAAGUCGAACGGUAAGGCCCUUCGGGGUACACGAGUGGCGAACGGGUGAGUAACACGUGGGUGAUCUGCCCUGCACUUCGGGAUAAGCCUGGGAAACUGGGUCUAAUACCGGAUAGGACCACUGCCUGCAUGGGUGGUGGUGGAAAGCUUUUGCGGUGUGGGAUGGGCCCGCGGCCUAUCAGCUUGUUGGUGGGGUGAUGGCCUACCAAGGCGACGACGGGUAGCCGGCCUGAGAGGGUGACCGGCCACACUGGGACUGAGAUACGGCCCAGACUCCUGCGGGAGGCAGCAGUGGGGAAUAUUGCACAAUGGGCGCAAGCCUGAUGCAGCGACGCCGCGUGAGGGAUGGCGGCCUUCGGGUUGUAAACCUCUUUCAGCACCGACGAAGCGCAAGUGACGGUAGGUGCAGAAGAAGGACCGGCCAACUACGUGCCAGCCGCCGCAGUAA
rnacentral:rRNA from 1 species